CAAACAGGAUUAGAUACCCUGGUAGUCCACGCCGUAAACGAUGUCGACUUGGAGGUUGUGCCCUUGAGGCGUGGCUUCCGGAGCUAACGCGUUAAGUCGACCGCCUGGGGAGUACGGCCGCAAGGUUAAAACUCAAAUGAAUUGACGGGGGCCCGCACAAGCGGUGGAGCAUGUGGUUUAAUUCGAUGCAACGCGAAGAACCUUACCUGGUCUUGACAUCCACGGAAGUUUUCAGAGAUGAGAAUGUGCCUUCGGGAACCGUGAGACAGGUGCUGCAUGGCUGUCGUCAGCUCGUGUUGUGAAAUGUUGGGUUAAGUCCCGCAACGAGCGCAACCCUUAUCCUUUGUUGCCAGCGGUCCGGCCGGGAACUCAAAGGAGACUGCCAGUGAUAAACUGGAGGAAGGUGGGGAUGACGUCAAGUCAUCAUGGCCCUUACGACCAGGGCUACACACGUGCUACAAUGGCGCAUACAAAGAGAAGCGACCUCGCGAGAGCAAGCGGACCUCAUAAAGUGCGUCGUAGUCCGGAUUGGAGUCUGCAACUCGACUCCAUGAAGUCGGAAUCGCUAGUAAUCGUGGAUCAGAAUGCCACGGUGAAUACGUUCCCGGGCCUUGUACACACCGCCCGUCACACCAUGGGAGUGGGUUGCAAAAGAAGUAGGUAGCUUAACCUUCGGGAGGGCGCUUACCACUUUGUGAUUCAUGACUGGGGUGAAGUCGUAACAAGGUAACCGUAGGGGAACCUGCGGUUG
rnacentral:rRNA from 1 species